rnacentral:rRNA from 1 species
CUCGUAGGCGGCUUGUCGCGUCGAAUGUGAAAACUCGGGGCUCAACCCCGAGCUUGCAUUCGAUACGGGCAGGCUAGAGUUCGGUAGGGGAGACUGGAAUUCCUGGUGUAGCGGUGAAAUGCGCAGAUAUCAGGAGGAACACCGGUGGCGAAGGCGGGUCUCUGGGCCGAUACUGACGCUGAGGAGCGAAAGCGUGGGGAGCGAACA